UGAUAAGCUUUGCAUGGUUUAGAAGGCUAACAGUUGUUCCCAAAUGCCACAGUGAAAUCACCUUUUCAUGUCUAUUUAUACUCGAUCCAACUUCCCUAAAUCUCAUCAACUUUCUCUUGCAUGGCUAGGUCAUCAACAAUAGGAGUUCCCUCAACUUCCCUCAGAAGGAGAACCAGAGGCACAACUCACCAUGUUCAACCUUUGGUGACAUGGAAACUUAGGAAGCUCAAGAAGAUCAUCCCAGGAUGCGAAGAAGCUGGGUUAGAAGAACUGCUUCAGAGAACUGCUGAGUAUAUUUCUUUCCUAGAGCUGCAUGUAAUUAUUCUGGAGAGAAUAUCAAACCUUCAUGGUGCUUCAGGCUAUGGCUUGUCUUAAGCCAUAUCCUGAUCCAGGCUUUGAUGGUCAAAAAUAGAAAGAUCACUUGCAAUGAUUAAACUCAAUCAUGCAGCUAAGGAGAAACAUUUCAAUGGAAGAAAGUUCAUUUCCUUUUUUU